UGCCAGCAGCCGCGGUAACACGUAGGGACCAAGCGUUGUCCGGAUUUAUUGGGCGUAAAGAGCUCGUAGGCGGUUCCGUAAGUCGGAUGUGAAAACUCAGGGCUCAACCCUGAGACGCCAUCUGAUACUGCGGUGACUAGAGUCCGGUAGAGGAGCAUGGAAUUCCUGGUGUAGCGGUGGAAUGCGCAGAUAUCAGGAGGAACACCAACGGCGAAGGCAGUGCUCUGGGCCGGAACUGACGCUGAGGAGCGAAAGCAUGGGGAGCAAACAGGAUUAGAUA
rnacentral:rRNA from 1 species